UACGGAGGGUCCAAGCGUUAUCCGGAAUCAUUGGGUUUAAAGGGUCCGCAGGCGGUUUGUUAAGUCAGUGGUGAAAUCCUAUCGCUCAACGAUAGAACUGCCAUUGAUACUGACAGACUUGAAUUUAGUUGGAGUAGGCGGAAUGUGUAGUGUAGCGGUGAAAUGCUUAGAUAUUACACAGAACACCGAUAGCGAAGGCAGCUUACUAAACUAAAAUUGACGCUCAUGGACGAAAGCGUGGGGAGCGAACAGG
rnacentral:rRNA from 1 species